AACGUAGGAGGCGAGCGUUAUCCGGAUUUACUGGGCGUAAAGCGCACGCAGGCGGUUCCGUUAGUCGGACGUGAAAGCUCCUGGCUUAACUGGGAGAGGCCAUUCGAUACUGCGGGACUUGAGGUUGGGAGAGGAGUGUGGAAUUCCCGGUGUAGUGGUGGAAUGCGUAGAGAUCGGGAGGAACACCUGUGGGGAAAGCGGCACUCUGGCCCACACCUGACGCUGAGGUGCGAAAGCGUGGGUAGCAAACAGG
rnacentral:rRNA from 1 species